rnacentral:rRNA from 1 species
AACGAACGCUGGCGGCGUGCCUGAGACAUGCAAGUCGUGGGAGAAAGUCGGAGCAAUCCGGCUAGUAAACCGGCGCACGGGUGAGUAACACGUGGACAACCUGCCUUGGAGUUCGGGAUAACCCGUCGAAAGACGGACUAAUACCGGAUAUGACCACGGGGAGUUCGCUCUCUGAGGUAAAAGAUGGCCUCUGCUCCUGCAAGCUAUCUCUUCGAGAGGGGUCCGCGUCCAUCAGCUAGUUGGUGAGGUAACGGCUCACCAAGGCUAAGACGGGUAGCUGGUCUGAGAGGAUGGUCAGCCACACUGGGACUGAGACACGGCCCAGAGUCCUACGGGAUGCAGCAGUCAGGAAUAUUGCGCAAUGGAGGAAACUCUGACGCAGCGACGCCGCGUGGGUGAUGAAGGCCUUCGGUCGUAA